GGUUUGAUUAUGGCUCAGAUUGAACGCUGGCGGGAUGUUUACACAUGCAAGUCGAACGGCAGCACGGACUUCGGUCUGGUGGCGAGUGGCGAACGGGUGAGUAAUGUAUCGGAACGUGCCUAGUAGCGGGGGAUAACUACGCGAAAGGUAGCUAAUACCGCAUUACUGCCCUUCGGGGGAAAGCGGGGGACCUUCUGGCCUCGCACUAUUAGAGCGGCCGAUAUCGGAUUAGCUAGUUGGUGGGGUAACGGCUCACCAAGGCGACGAUCCGUAGCUGGUUUGAGAGGACGUGACCAGCCACACUGGGACUGCAGACACACGGCCCAGACUCCUACGGGAGGCAGCAAUGGGGAAUUUUGGACAAUGGGGGGAAACCCUGAUCCAGCCAUCCCGCGUGUGCGAUGAAGGCCUUCGGGUUGUAAAGCACUUUUUGGCAGGGAAAGAAACGGCACGGGAUAAUACCCCGUGCAACUGACGGUACCUGCAGAAUAAGCACCGGCUACUACGUGCCCAGCAGCCGCGGUAGGGUGCAAGCGUUAAUCGGAAUUACUGGGCGUAAGCGUGCGCAGGCGGUUCGGAAAGAAAGAUGUGAAAUCCCAGAGCUUAACUUUGGAACUGCAUUUUUAACUACCGAGCUAUAGAGUGUGUCAGAGGGAGGUGGAAUUCCGCGUGUAGUAGUGAAAUGCGUAGAUAUGCGGAGGAACACCGAUGGCGAAGGCAGCCUCCUGGGAUAACACUGACGCUCAUGCACGAAAGCGUGGGGAGCAAACAGGAUUAGGAUAGUCAAUUCUGGUAGUCCACGCCCUAAACGAUGUCAACUAGCUGUUGGGGCCUUCGGGCCUUGGUAGCGCAGCUAACGCGUGAAGUUGACCGCCUGGGGAGUACGGUCGCAAGAUUAAAACUCAAAGGGAAUGAUUGGGACCCGCACAAGCGGUGGAUGAUGUGGAUUAAUUCGAUGCAACGCGAAAAACCUUACCUACCCUUGACAUGUCUGGAAUCCCGAAGAGAUUUGGGAGUGCCUGCAAGAGAACCGUAACACAGGUGCUGCAUGGCUGUCGUCAGCUCGUGUCGUGAGAUGUUGGGUUAAGUCCCGCAACGAGCGCAACCCUUGUCAUUAGUUGCUACGAAAGGGCACUCUAAUGAGACUGCCGGUGACAAACCGGAGGAAGGUGGAUGACGUCAAGUCCUCAUGGCCCUUAAGGGUAGGGCUUCACACGUUACAAUGGUCGGGACAGAGGGUCGCCAACCCGCGAGGGGGAGCCAAUCCCAGAAACCCGAUCGUAGUCCGGAUCGCAGUCUGCAACUCGACUGCGUGAAGUCGGAAUCGCUAGUAAUCGCGGAUCAGCAUGUCGCGGUGAAUACGUUCCCGGGUCUUGUACACACCGCCCGUCACACCAUGGGAGUGGGUUUUACCAGAAGUAGUUAGCCUAACCGUAAGGAGGGCGAUUACCACGGUAGGAUUCAUGACUGGGGUGAAGUCGUAACAAGUAG
rnacentral:rRNA from 1 species